UGGGGAAUAUUGCACAAUGGGCGCAAGCCUGAUGCAGCAACGCCGCGUGCGGGAUGACGGCCUUCGGGUUGUAAACCGCUUUCAGUUCCGACGAAGCGCAAGUGACGGUAGGAACAGAAGAAGGACCGGCCAACUACGUGCCAGCAGCCGCGGUGAUACGUAGGGUCCGAGCGUUGUCCGGAAUUAUUGGGCGUAAAGGGCUUGUAGGCGGUUUGUUGCGUCGGAAGUGAAAACUCAGGGCUUAACCCUGAGCCUGCUUCCGAUACGGGCAAACUAGAGGAAUGCAGGGGAGAAUGGAAUUCCUGGUGGAGCGGUGGAAUGCGCAGAUAUCAGGAGGAACACCGGUGGCGAAGGCGGUUCUCUGGGCAUUUCCUGACGCUGAGAAGCGAAAGCGUGGGGAGCAAACAGGCUUAGAUACCCUGGUAGUCCACGCCGUAGACGGUGGGCACUAGGUGUGGGGAACAUUCCACGUUCUCCGUGCCGAAGCUAACGCAUUAAGUG
rnacentral:rRNA from 1 species